rnacentral:lncRNA from 1 species
AGGGCCUCACAUUUAAAUCCGGCUAAAAGCCAAGAACUGUGCAAACAUUACACGUGUGUUAUCUCACCCUCCGUGUGUAACACUCUGCUCUUUCGAAUCACCAACUGCACUGCCUUUGUGGCCGGUUCCUAAUCCAGUUCUCCCUCUCAAAGAGUAGAUUAAUUCUCCCUCCCUCUCCUUCCUCCCUCCCUCUUUGUUAACCCUUUGAUUCUGGAAGAGAAAUGCUUCAAUCUGAGGUGCUUGGGAGCCCCAGGGGACUGAAUGAGUGUGACUUUUAUCACCUUCUUAGGAGUCACUGGACUUCCAAGGGCGGUAAAACUCCAUUUCAAGUACCUCACGAUCCCCAGAAAUAUUGGGCGUUAGAUCUUGCAACACAGCCUGGAAGAACUGAUGUUACAGAAAAAGUGUUACAUCCUCAGCCCUGGAAACCACCUCAGAGCUUCUGUCCUGGAACUGACGGAGGUACAGGUCACAAGGAGAAAUUCAGGACAGGAGCAUAUCACAUGAUCGUGCUUCAUGGAUUCAGAGGGGACUAGGGACUCCACCCCUGUCUUGGUAGAUGUCGGAGCGGCUCACCAGCAGGCCUCACGCAUAAGCCUGGGCCGGGACCCUCCGCCCUUGGGAUGCCACAGGGUCUGCUUUCAGAAGCCGAACAAUGCUAAUUAAAAUGCCAUGUUCUGGCCUAGAGCAGACGACAGCUGGGUUUAGAUUAAGAAAUCUUUUUUAAGAAAUUGCCUCCUACUGGUGUGUACAGAUGAUGAACCUGAGCUGGCCCUGGCCUUGGCCCAGAUGGACGCACUAAAUCACUUGCCUUUGCCCUAGGGACCUAAUUAUAAUGAGCGCACUUGGGAUGCCAAGGUUGGAAAUGGUUUUUGCUGAUUAGCACUAGAUAGCUAUUAAUAUUCUUAUCUCAUGUAUUUUACCAAGCCUCGCCAAAAACUCUGGCAACUCUGGCUUCUCUGCCAAGGCCUUAGGUGUUUCCAGCUUGUGGUUUUAAGGAGCUAGUUUCUUUGCUGCCUUUGGGAAGAAUGGCCAUUCUCCUGGCCUGUGCUGCCCGGGACCAGGAGCUGGAAGAGGCUUGCUGAGGGGUGGCCCAUGACUCCGUGAUCCCGGCUUCUUCCCAGGAUGGUCUCUGACCGGAGGAUCCUUACCACUGACAGGCAGCAGGCGUCUCACCACGAGUUCUAAAGGUCUGAUUGUUGGUUCAAGUCCAAGACCCUUUGAUGGUAGAGUGAAGUAGAUGAAGCAGAGACUGGGUUGGGAAGUGGUUCAGUUCUGGGGAACGUUCUGGCUCUGCAGUCGUAAGAUCCCGUGGGAACCCAGCCGAGAGGAGAGAGGUUUGGGGGGUUGGAGACCUCCCACCAGCCGGCCCCACUGUACCCGUCUGUGCUCCGGGGACAGUAGCAUCUUUAGGAGUAGGCUGCUUUUUCCCGUUCUCUGGAUCAUCGUCUGUUGCAGCAGCAGAAGCCACAGCAGGCCAUUCCCCAAGCAGCCCUGGCUCAGCGAGGCAGAGGGAGAAUGCCCAGCUGGCGCCGAGCCCCUGCAGCCACUCUCUGAGGAGUAGGCUGGCAGGAGCGCCAACCAUAUUGGCAGGCGGCUGCCAUCCAGGAAGGCUCUGGAAGCGAUUCGAGCUUCCCACACAGGGCCUGGAGGCAUAUGAAAACCUGGGGGUGGGAUGGGGGCUGCUCAUCUCACCCCAGAGCCCUGUCCUAAGCCCCGGGUCUCCCAUCCUAGGCCAGUGACUGACACUGUUACCUGCUUCUCAGUACCACUGGGGACAGCUUUUGACCCCAUGAUGCCAGCCAGGCCUGGUCUGACGAUCUGAACGGGCUUCAUGGAGCUGCUGCUGGCAGAGGAAAGUUCGGCAGCAGGGCUCUGCUCUCAGUUGUAAGGGUCCCCCCUCUCUUUUUGGGGUGGAGCAUGAUAAGCUCUGCCCACACCCCCUCUUCCACCCCCAUUCAACAGACUGCCUGCCAGGGGUCUCCGCAGCAGGGUUUGUGAUGUCCAGCCUCCCAGGGAGGCGGUGUGGGCUGCCCAGGCAGCGCUGUGCCAUGGCUUUCUAAUUUCAGGCACACCUCUGCUGGUGACACAGGACAGGUCCCUUUGCAGUUCGACCUGCUCUCCAGCUCUCCAGCCACUUUCCUUUUCAGGACGUGGUUGAGUUGCCAGCAUCUGGGUCUAGCAUUGUGUUCCCUCAGAUUUACAGCCCCUUCCGUAUAGAGUUGUUCCCUCUCUUCUGCUCCCAACUGGUUGGGCCCCUGGUUGCAUUUCUGCCCAGUCUCUCUGAAGGGCACAGAGCUGUUGGGCAGAGCCGAAUAAAGGGAAGGGUGCCCAGUGGCUCUCUCAGAGGUAUGGGCAGCUGCGUCUGCUAGAAGUCCCCUCAGUGAAGCGCCAUCUCAUCCACGGCGUCUUAGUUGCUGCAUGUGGAGUGACAGCUGCUGACAGCGGGGACCAGAAUCCACAUGUCUUAGACCCAAACCACCAGCCACACUACCCACUCUGCAGAGCCUUCUCUCCGCGAUGCAUCCAUUUGAGCUUUUAUUUACAGCUGCCAACUAUCAUUAACGACUAUGCCCAGGAAGAAGCUCAAAGAAUGUCUGGUUUUCUGGCGAUCACAGCUGAAGACAAACCAACCAGGUACUGAUUCAGGUGAGGUAAGAGAGCAUUUAUUCAGUCAUUCGAUGUUUCUAAUGAACAAUUCAUCAUCGAAAUGCACUCAUUCAUUCGUCAGAAAGUGCUCUGUGCCAGCACCUCCUAUUGAAUAAGACACAGUCUUGAUCUCCAGGAGCUCCAGUUCCAGCAGGAGUUCCUAGCUCUGUAAGAUGCUCGAGCCGGCGGCGGCCUAGGGCGCUACGCACAGACCUUGUCGUCCCAGCUGUAAAGGAGAAUUCCGUUCCUCUGGCAUCCUCCUUAACCAUCUUGUCUGGUGCCUGGAGGAUGCAAGGAUUUUUGAAUUUCCUCUUCUCAUAGUGCCUGCCUUUGAGCUGCUUUGAGUCCACUCCUGUGCCUUAGUUUCCUCAACCAGAAAUUGGAAAUGGCAAGAGCACUUAGACCCGAGCGGGUGGGAUGGAGUGAGGCACCGGAUCUCUCCCCCUUUCCUCAAGCAGGGCCCUUGCCACAUUGUACCUGGCGAAGCUGGCAGCCAGCCCUCUUCCGGCCCCCAGCUCUGCUCACCCUGUUACCAGAGAGCUUGGGGGUCUGGAUCCUAUCUGGCCCCGUCAGGGUGGAUUACCGAAUGAGUGGUUCUUUUACCUCAGUCCCUUUCCUGUACUAUAAAUAAGCCCUGUGUUUAUUUUCUUAUGUUAUUGAAAUGAGCACUUGGGAUUUGGGCCUCUUGACGAGAGAGGAGAGGAGAGGAGAGCGCGUCCAUCCGGUGCCUGGUGAGGGCCCCGCGUGGCUGGCUGCUGUCUGAAGCUAUUGGGAGUCCUCCCUCUGUGUUUUGGAUGUGGCUUAAUUUCAAUAGUAAGGGCUGUACGCAGCCCUGUAUCUGCUGAUUUUCAGGUUUCAGCUUUCUGCCAGCCUCACUGCCUGCUUAGAAGUAAAGCUGUGUUUCUCAUUAAAGGGAUAAAAGCCACAAUUGAGGUAAUUAACGAAAAUUGUGUCUUGGUGGCAGCAGCUCCUAUAGGAUUUCCAAUAGUCUUUCUCUGGUAGAUCCUGAGGGGCUUACCUUCAUCUCCUCCCUUCUGCCUACCCUGUGCCCAGUCUCUGUUGCUGUUUUCUGGAUAGAGUUCUGGUAAGUUCUCUCCUAACAGCCUUGUUCCUGUCACCAGUUUGGUGCGAUGUAUUGACAACUUGGCCAAAUGAAGAUCCCAGUAACUCCGUCUUCUCCAAGACAUGAAGAUGCAAGGAUAUUUUUUUUUCUCUCUCUCUUCCCAUAGUGUCUUCCAUUUGCCAGUUGUACCUUGGCCUUCUUUAGAAGUUAUAGUAUGAAUAUCCAUCAAUAACAGAUAGAGUCUCCCUUUAGUAUCAUGGCGACAUCAUCUCAAUGGAGAGGGUGACCUGGGACAGUGCUGGGAUAGGUAGGAAACAUCUGGAAGCUCAGCUUAGUGUAUUAUAUACUAUGUGGUAGUCUGGGAACUAGGGAGUAUCCCAGUUAGGCUGAUUUCUGGCUCCUUCAGCCUUUUGACAACUUAUCAAAAGUAUCCAGCGAGACUGAGGACGCAGCAUUGUGUAUCAGAACUUGGGCUAAAGAUCAUUAUCUGUUUCUCAGGAUGGGUUAGCCUGGAAAGUCACUCAGUAGAGAAAUCAUUUCAUGGACACAACCAGAACCUGUGUAAUGUUAAUGAAAAUUAUAUCUAACAACCAGAUUUAGUUCGCUUUCAGACAGGGAACCAGGAGAAAAUAAAUUUUCACUCGUGUUUUUAGUCUACUGACUCCUAAAGAUUCUUUUUCCUUAAAAGUUAAAAAGUCUUUUGUGAUGGAAUCAUAUUUAUUGAGCAUUUAUUAUGUACCAGACACUGUUCUUAAUGUGAAAAUGCUGCAUCAAACAAAACAAUGCCUGUCUUUUAUCAAGUAUACUUUCUAAAAAGAAGACAAUCUAAACAAGUAAAUGAGUAUAAUUUCAAAUGGUGCUAUGUUCUGUGGGGAAAAAAACCCCAAAAGCAAACAGAGUAAGGCGAGAAGGAUAGUGACUUGGGCAUGAGGAGGUUUUUCAGGUGGGCUGGGCAGAAGUGGCAUUUAAGCGCAGAUCUAAAUGUUGAGAAGGAGUGGACCAUGAGCAUACCAGGCAGAGGGAAGAGCUAGUAUAAAGGCCUUCAGACAGGAACAAGAUCAGCUCAUUUUUAAUAAGAGCUAGAACUGCUGUGUGACCGCAGUGUUUGAGUAUGGAGAGCCUGGUAAAGAUGAUGCCAGAAAAUUAGGCCAGGGCCAAAUUGUGUUGGCACUGUGUAGGCUAAAAGGGUUCUGGAUUUUUUAUUGUGAGUGUGAUAGGAAGUCACCGGAAGGUUUUGACAUCUGAAUGGGAUUUUGUUUAAAGAUGAUUUUGGCUACUAUGUGGAAAAAAGGCAGUAGAGAGCAAGAAUCAAAGAAAAGAAAUCAUGCUAAGUGAACUCAGUCAGAUAAUGAGACACCAACAUCAAAUGCUAUCACUUACAUGUGGAAUCUAAAAAAAGGACACAAUGAACUUCUUUGCAAAACAGAUACUGACUCACAGACUUUGAAAAACUUAUGGUUUCCAAACGAGACAGGUUGCGGGGCGGGGGGGGAAAGAGGUGGAUGCACUGAGGGUUUGGGAUGAAAAUGCCUUAAAAUUCGUUUGUGAUGAUUGUUGUACACCUAUAAAUGUAAUAAAAUUCAUUAAAUAAUUAAAAAGUUAAAAAUAAAUCAGGAAACUACUUUUGGGAGUGCAAGUGAGAGAUGGUCAUGGAUUAAUUGGACUAGGAUGGUAGCAACAGAAGUAAUGAAGAGUUAUAUUGGAAGUAGAAUCUAUUGGAUUUCCUGAUGAAUUUAGUAAAGGAGAUGAAAAUAAUAGAAGAUUCACAGAUAACUGCUAGGUUUUUGUUGUGACCGAUUGAUAUGAUUAAAUGACAUAUGGCAGACCAGGCAGGGAUAAUGGCAGGGACGUGCGAGAGGGAAAAAUCAAGAGCUCCAUUGUAAAUGUGCUGAGUUUGAGGUGUCUUUUGGACAUCUGUGAGUAGUGUUAUAUAAGCAGUUAGCUAUCUAGAGCUCAAGGGAAACGUUAAGACUGAAUAUAAAUGGGAUUUAAAACCAUAUGGUUAGAUGAGAUGACCUGGAGAGAGAACUGGAGCCUGAUUGCCAGGCUCACUAUAACAUUUCAGUUAGGGAAGAAAAGGAAGAACCAGAAAAGGAGACUGAGGAAUUGCCAGUGAGUUGGGAAGAAAACCAGGAUGAUAUCUGUAAGACAGACUGUGAAGAUACCCAUUGUAAACCUAGAGAAACCGCUGAAAACAAUUUUUACAGAUGGAGAUGGAAUACUGUAAAAAUAUUCAAAAGAAUUGAUUGAGUGAAGAACGAGUAAACAAAGGACAGAUGGGGCAAAUAAAAAAGCAAGACAGUAGACUUAAACCCCAAUGUAUCAAUAGUUACAUUAAAUAUAAAUGGUCUAAACAUUCUAAUCAAAGGACAGAGAUUAUCAUUCUGAAUAGACAAGAACUGUUAUAUGCUAUCUACAG